CGAGUGGCGGACGGGGGAGUAAUGUCUGGGAAACUGCCUGAUGGAGGGGGGUAACUACUGGAAACGGUAGCUAAUACCGCAUAACGUCGCAAGACCAAAGAGGGGGACCUUCGGGCCUCUUGCCAUCGGAUGUGCCCAGAUGGGGUUAGCUAGUAGGUGGGGUAAAGGCUCACCUAGGCGACGAUCCCUAGCUGGUCUGAGGGGAUGACCAGCCACACUGGAACUGAGACACGGUCCAG
rnacentral:rRNA from 1 species